rnacentral:rRNA from 1 species
CGCGUGGGAAACCUGCCAUAUGCUGGGGGAGUAACAGUUAGAAAUGACUGCUAAUACCGCAUAAGCGCACAGUAUCGCAUGAUACAGUGUGAAAAACUAGAGGUGGCAUAUGAUGGUCCCGCGUCUGAUUAGCUAGUUGGCGGGGUAAUAGCCCACCAAGGCGACGAUCAGUAGCCGGCCUGAGAGGGUGAACGGCCACAUUGGAACUGAGACACGGUCCAAACUCCUACGGGAGGCAGCAGUGGGGGAUAUUGCACAAUGGGGGAAACCCUGAUGCAGCGACGCCGCGUGAGUGAAGAA